rnacentral:rRNA from 1 species
UACGUAGGGGGCAAGCGUUGUCCGGAUUUAUUGGGCGUAAAGAGCUCGUAGGCGGUUUGGUAAGUCAGGUGUGAAAUCUCCACGCUCAACGUGGAGGGGCCACCUGAUACUGCCAUGACUGGAGUCCGGUAGAGGAGUGUGGAAUUCCCGGUGUAGCGGUGAAAUGCGCAGAUAUCGGGAAGAACACCAACGGCGAAAGCACUCUGCUGGGCCGAAAAACUGACACUGAUAGACGAAAGCUAGGGGAGCAAAUGGG